UGAGUAACGCGUGGGGAAUCUGCCUUUGAGCGGGGGACAACAUUUGGAAACGAAUGCUAAUACCGCAUAAAAACUUUAAACACAAGUUUUAAGUUUGAAAGAUGCAAUUGCAUCACUCAAAGAUGAUCCCGCGUUGUAUUAGCUAGUUGGUGAGGUAAAGGCUCACCAGGCGGAUGAUACAUAGCCGACCUGAGAGGGUGAUCGGCCACAUUGGGACUGAGACACGGCCCAAACUCCUACGGGAGGCAGCAGUAGGGAAUCUUCGGCAAUGGACGAAAGUCUGACCGAGCAACGCCGCGUGAGUGAAGAAGGUUUUCGGAUCGUAAAACUCUGUUGGUAGAGAAGAACGUUGGUGAGAGUGGAAAGCUCAUCAAGUGACGGUAACUACCCAGAAAGGGACGGCUAACUACGUGCCAGCAGCCGCGGUAAUACGUAGGUCCCGAGCGUUGUCCGGAUUUAUUGGGCGUAAAGCGAGCGCAGGUGGUUUAUUAAGUCUGGUGUAAAAGGCAGUGGCUCAACCAUUGUAUGCAUUGGAAACUGGUAGACUUGAGUGCAGAGAGGAGAGUGGAAAUUCCAUGUGUAGCGGUGAAAUGC
rnacentral:rRNA from 1 species